rnacentral:lncRNA from 1 species
CACUACCACUUAUAAGGGAUGACUGGGAUUGGAAAUGUUUAGCUAAGCAGGUGAAUUGUCUACUGUCUCUUUGGCUCCUAUUCUCCUUUGGGUGCAGCCAUUCUUUCUCAGCUCCUCAUUUCAGGUAUGACUCUCUCUAGUCACUGCCCAGAGCUCUACCCCUGGGGAGAUAUUUCCUUGAAGGAGACUAGAGUGAGAAAAUACAUCUGAGGCAAGUGAGGCACUAUCUCUGAAAGAACAAUUACAACUCUCCACUUAAAAAGAUUUCUCUCCCCCUACCCCAAUACCAUCACUAGCUUAUUCUUUGCUCUGGUGAAUUGAGGAACAAUCUGGUCUCGUUUUAAUCUCUGCUUUCCAGGACUUUAAUAACAUUCUUUCCAUAAAAAUCUUGAUUCAUUUCAGCCACAGCCAGACAACCAGGCAAAUCAGAAAGAGAAUGUCUGACUGUCCAUUUCUACCUCCCUGUCUAUCUAUCUCUGAUUCUCUCUGUCUCUGUAUCUCUCAUAUUUAAACUAUGAACUAGGUGAACAGUAAUAAGAAAAUACAAUCUUUAUAGAAAAAGAGAUAAAUUUCAGAAUGCAUGCACUCUGUCUGGGAGGGAGAGACAGGAAGAUAAGAAAGAGAAAGGAGAGGGGCCAUCUUCAGCAACCAGAAACAGUUGCAUUCCAUCCUGUUUCUGCGUCCAGGUGACCAAGCAAUAGCUGUGGCCUGCUGACCCAAGGCAAAUGCUUGAAUUGGGGGAGGGACAGUAGAACAGUAGAGCCCUAGCCAAAAUCCAGAACCUCAGCACAGAGCUCCGCAAUGGGACAGUGUGGCCCCACUGAAGGCACUGCCUUAAGGCACUGAGACUAAUGAUGGCCUUAGACCUGGGGGAAGGGAAAAACAGGUAUCCCUUGACUCCUCAUGGGCUCAGAUGUCUGUGCGCCAGACAAAGAUGUAAGCAAAUUAUGAAGGUGGAUUGCUUAGGAUACUUAAUGUCAAUGCUUUUUUCCUGUGCUACUCACAAUGUUGCAUGGUGGGGAUGGGGGAAGCAUUUGAAAAGAGAGUCAGCCUGGUUUACAGAGAUGUCAGAAAAGGAUAUUAGAGAAGCAUGCCUGAGAAACACUCCAGAGACCUGUGAGAAGAUCCAAGAUGGUGCUUGAAUAAGAACCCACUAGUGAACAGCCGAUGAGCUAUUCAUUCAAUCAAUCAAUCAAUAAAAAUGUAUUAAGCUCCCCGUUGUGUGCCA